UACUUUAGUUGAAUAUUUAGUAAUUAUAUGUAAAAUUUUAAUUUUGUUUAUUUUUUUAGUAAAUAAAACUUUUAAUUUAAGUACCCACACGCUUAAUUGAGAUUCUUCUGAUAACAAGUACAGUAAAUAUGUGUGUUUUUGUAUAAAACUAUUUGAAAAAAAUAUUUAAAAAAAUGAAAGUUAAAAAAUGGUUUGAAAAUUGG